rnacentral:lncRNA from 1 species
CGGAGUAGCCUGAGUUGCCAUAUUAGGAGUAGCUCCUGAGAACGCGAUAAGGGCGCCAUGUUGAAUGUGGCGGAAAUUGAUGUUAAGUUGUUCCGGAAAGGAGAAACUGAAGAAGGAAAUGGUAUUAUGUGUUCCCAAGAGCAAAGGAGCUCAAAAUUCAAUCCACGGAGAUGUAUCCUGCAAACAGCUGAACAUUCAACAAAAGAAAGAGAAAGGCUAAUAAUAGCUGUUCAGAAGAGAUGCCUUCUGGAAACUGCUUAAAAAAUGAAUGUUAGGACUGCUAUGAAAGUAAAUGACUGGAAAGGCUGAGAAGACAACAUUACACAGGGGCCCAUCCAAGGAAGAAGGAGGAAAAAAUCCUAGAACAGAUAUUUGCUUUUGUUCUUUGCUGAGAAUUUUUGACUGUGGGAAGUUCCAUCUUGCAACUCCCCCAUUUAUCUUUUUGUGCGUGUCCAAUUUAAGAAUACAUAGAGACGAGACUGUGACAAGACAACAAUAAACAGAAACAUACAACUUUGUGACAAGCAUGCUUUGAAAGGAGAAAAUCAGUGUUUUAGGAUCCUUUCUUAAAAAGAAACGUAUGCAGGGAGAAAAUUCAUUAAAACAGUUUCAGUGUACUGCCCCUUUAACUGAAGAAGCUAAGCUGUUGCGAUUAGCCAUCUGAUUGGCUGAGCUGACUUUCUUGUUCCCUAACUUUCCCUGCACCAUACAUGCAGAUA